rnacentral:lncRNA from 1 species
GAGUCAAGAUUACUUCCCAAAUUUUUUAUUAAUUCUGCAAAUUAGUUCAUAAAACACACUAAACAAAACUAGAAAAAUAACAAACAUUAUUAGCAACAAUUUUGUCAAACAGUUGGUGUGCAACAAUUCUUCACCAUUUCUUCAUCUUCAUUCUCAUCCCAAGACCCAUACAAAAUCGAUCUAGGAGACCCAUAACACCCACCUUGACUUUCCUUAACAAACCCAUAAUACAUCAUCAAACCACCAUUUCCAAGAUCUUCAAAGCUCGAUUCUUUAACACCAUAACCCAUUUCCAUGCAACGAUACAUAAAAUUCAAUGUGUUUGAAACAACUCAACACCCUUUUGACCAGAAGAGUUAAAUCGAUUGAUGAUUGAAACAACUCAACACCCUUACCUAAUAAGCCGCUUAGCACUCACUUUCAAAAUCGAUUAAAGAUGAAGAGGAUUAGUAGUGGUGGAAGAAGAAGUUGUUCGUGGAUUGAAGGAGAAGGAGAAAGAAGAAGUCACGCCGUUUAGGAGCAAAGAGAUAGAGAAGGGCAAAUACGUGAAACUAGUGCGAAGGACCGAGUCAGCUACUUUUUCUUUGAGGACCGAAUCAGUGGUUGUGGACUGAAUCAGGUGUGCAAAGAACUCUAAUCAAACAAGCUGACCAGCUGACCCGGACCGAGUCAGAAAAAAAGGUCUGACUGGACCGAGUUAACUGUAUGUUUGGCAAUUAAAUCAACAAGGAAUCUUACGAUUAACAACAUUAAGGAACAACUUUCUAUUUAGCAUUCUCUUAUGUUGUAAUUAAGAUCACAGGGAGCUCUGUAAUAUGCAGGCAUGGUCGAAGGGAAGAACAUCUGACGUACUCCUUCCGCUUUUAUGAUCGGAAAUAUGAUUCCAGAUGCACCCUGCAUCAUUUUAAUGGUAUGCCAAUUUUUAGAUUUUAGAUUUCAAUUUUAUUAAAAGGGAAAUCUCUGAUAAAAUCCUAAUAUUUUAGGUCAAUUUACGAUUUAGUCCCAAAUUAAAUUUUGUUUACAAAAAUAGACAGAUUACCGGCUAAAACUUCGGAAUAACCCUUCGUGGCCGGUUUCACAGAUUUAGCCGAUAUCUCGUCUUUUUUCGUUAAUUAAUCCAAAUUUUGGGGCUUUUUCAUUAAUUAAUCAAAAUUUUAGGGCUUUUUCAUUAUUUAUUACCAAUAAACCAAAAUAUUUGGACUUUUCUGAAGACUACCUUUAAACUAAUAUAUAUUAUAUGAUCUAACUUAAUAUGUACCAUUCCCUGUCUUCUUUCUUACGCUCUUCUAGGCGCACCGUAUGUUUUUAUUGUCGUCGUCAAACCCAACAACAAAAAUCUCACUCACAAGCAUUGUUAACUCCAUCGAUUUUCCAAAAUCAUCCAUUCAUAACUCUACGAUCAUCUUUCAAUCUCCAAAUGAAGAAAUGAGAAAAUCAUUGUUGAUUAUGUGGAUGCCCCUAUUACCUAACCAUGACUUAAACCAUGGUUCCAAUACUCAGAUGUUCCUAUUACCUAACCAUGACCUGAAUCCUAUUUCGAACCCAUACACUAUUCGUAUUGUCCAUAGUGUUGUUCACAACAAAAUACGAAUCCCACAUGGUUUAACCACUGAUACCUUGGCUCAAGUCUUACAUGACCCUUGUUUCCUUACAAUAGGGCUUGAAAACCAUGAAGAAUGUUAACUCUAAUUGUUAAAAAAAAAAGUCAGCAAGCUAUCCAUCAUAAACUAUUAAAAAUAUUAAUUUGGUAUUCCUACGAGCUACGGUUCCAACACUUGGAUGUUCCUAUAACCUAACCAUGACUCAAACCUUAUUUCGAACCCAUACACUAAGGCAUUGACCAUAGUUUUGUUAACAAGAAAAAUUGAAUCCCACAUGGUUUAACCACUGAUACCUUGGCUCAAGUCUUACUUGACCCUUGUUUCCUUACAAUAUGUGUAACAUCCCAACUCUCAGGUAUAAUAUUUAAUUAAUUUAUAUUCUUGUUGUCUGAUAAACUUGACGAGUUGAAGGCCCCAACUUGCCGAGUAGAGAGUGUUAAUGGUCGCGUAAUUUCUAGAGUCUACUCGACGAGUUGGAGGAUCCCAACUCGACGAGUAGGAGCUAAGUGUGAAAACCCUAAUUUUCAGGGUUUGUGUCCUAUUUAAAGGACAUUAAGCCUUCAUUUUCGCCUCCCUUAUCAUCUUAACACUCUAAGAGAAACCCUAAUCGAGCUAUAUGCUUGUAGGAGAGAAAGAGGGGCUAAUAUUGCAUAUUGUAGUGCAUUUUUGGAAGAAGAUUGAGGAGAAAAAGGCUUGGGACGAGAAGGAGCUCUUGGAUCCAAUGUU